rnacentral:rRNA from 1 species
UAUUGCACAAUGGGGGAAACCCUGAUGCAGCGACGCCGCGUGAGUGAAGAAGUAUUUCGGCUNGUAAAGCUCUAUCAGCAGGGAANNCANNNCNGGUACCUGACUAAGAAGCCCCGGCUAACUACGUCCCNNNAGCCCCGGUAAUACGUAGGGGGCAAGCGUUAUCCGGAUUUACUGGGUGUAAAGGGAGCGUAGACGGCAGCACAAGUCUGGAGUGAAAUGCCGGGGCUUAACCCCGGAACUGCUUUGGAAACUGUGCAGCUAGAGUGCAGGAGAGGUAAGUGGAAUUCCUAGUGUAGCGGUGAAAUGCGUAGAUAUUAGGAGGAACACCAGUGGCGAAGGCGGCUUACUGGACUGUAACUGACGUUGAGGCUCGAAAGCGUGGGGAGCAAACAG